AAAAGGAAAAAAAAAAGUACCUGCAGGUGAUGUGGAGGUGAAGGAAAAAAGAAAAAGAGAAACGGGACUGGAUUUAUUUAUUUGGUUACACGAGGUCUUUGAGGCUCAUGAGAUCUGGAUCUUCCUUGCCCCACGCAGGAUCUUUACUUGCGACUUCGUGAUCUUUACUUGCGACUUGUGAACUCUUAGUUGCCAUGUGUGGGACCUAGUUCCCCGACCAGGGAUCAGACAGGGCUCCCUGCGUUGGGAGCUCUGAGUCUUGGCCACUGGACUACCAGGGAAGUCUCAGGCCUGGAAUUUAUUAAAUAAAUUAAUCAAAUAUUUUACAAAUUUAAGACACCUGUGGGGAGGAGAGAAAAAAAAAAAAAAAAAACAGAGAAAACGAUGGCACUCCAGAGCUAGAGCAGGAAGAGGGAGACACCAAAGAUGGCGCCCCGGUGUCCUCUCUGGUGGGCAUCCAGAAGCUCUUAGAAGUACGUGUUAAGUUGACACCUGCCCCUCAGGCUGCUUAUAUAGUAUAAGGGCUUCCCUGGUGGCUCAGAUAGUAAAGAAUCCGCCUGCAAUGCGGGAGACCUGGGUUUGAUCCCUGGAUUGGGAAGAUCCCCUGGAGAAGGAAAUUGCAACCCACUUCAGUAUUCUUGCCUGAAGAAUCCCCGUGGACAGAGAAGCCUGGCAGGCUACAGUCCAUGGCAUCACAAAGAGUCAGACAUGAUUGAGCGACUAAGAACCUUAAAGUUCAGAGAGACGUCUCAAAAAAUAGUUUCCAUGUUUCUCUGUCUUCUGCCAAAGUGCUGGCAUGAUGACCCUUUUAGUCUCUCCUAGCUCUCACAGUAAUGGCUACAAGCCCAGCCAAACAUCAGGAAGCAGCUUCUUCAGGAGCUUGAAAGAAAUCAGGUCUCAUUAAACAAUAAGGGAAUGGGCCACACAGCUCACUUAUUUCCUCUGCCCUUGGAAAAAUGUAGAUUCCUUGGUGUAAAGUAGAGAAGCAAAUCAAAACUAAAUUACCUCUGUGUAAAUAAACCAUGUGACACCAAUAAUUAGGAAGCUUAAGUGUAAGAACAUGGCCUGCUAUAUGAAAAGACCAAGAUUUACUUCCAGAUCAGCUGACAAACAUCUUUAAACUCUUUGAUGAUACAAACAAAACCUUUAAGCAGUUUGAUCCUAAGCCUUCUCUUCAUCCUUCCACCAGGAUUCCAGCUGUGAUUUGUCAGAUUUUAUGGUGUUAUUAUCAGAUCUGGACUGAUGGUGCUAAUUAUUCCCCUAAAAGAUACCAGGAUUUAAUCACGGAGAAACAAUAUUUUACUUCUAUUAAAAGGAUUUUUAGAAAUUUGUUUCAUCAUACUGUCUCUAUAACUUACUAUUUUUUUUUAUUUAUUGUAUUAGAAAAUGCAGUUAAUUGUGUUGAUACUAUUUUGGGAUUCAUGACAAACAUGUAUUUAAAUGGGGUGGUAUGUAUAAGCAUGAAUAGACCAUACAUGGGUUGUUGCUGAACAAAGUCUGUUGCUUUUUGCUUCUUUCUUUCUUUAUUUAUUUUUACAUUUGUAGGGUAAAAACCUACAAAGAACCUCCAACCUAUAAAGAACCUCCAGCCAGCUUGAUUUUGUUGCUGCUACCACUGCCAGAUAUAGCAGAGCUGACAUGUUGCUGAGUUAUGUCCUAGCAAUUUUUGCUCAUGUUGUAACUUAGCUUCACCACAUUAGUUCAGUCAAGCAGUGCUGUGGCCUUCUUGAUGUGUUCCAUAUUUACACAGUUGUAAAUAUUCUGUAAAGAAUUGUGUACAAUAGUUAUUGCUUCUGAGGUUAUGACAUAGGUUCAUUCUAGGGCUAAGACUUUUUUAUUGGUAAACAGUUCCCAAAACUUAACUAUGCAUGGUUAUCUUGAUAAAACAAUUUAUAAACUAAAUAUGUUUAAGGCACAUGAACCAAAUCAAAACAAAAAAUGAUGUCAAGCCUUCCCUGAAAUUUCCAUCAGUAGGUUAACAAAGUUGGGUAUUUACUAGGCAAUGUAGACCAGUGUAUCUGAAUUGUAAUGUGUCCAUAAAAUACCUGGGAAUAUUACUAAAAUUCAGAUUCUGAUUCAGAAGGUUUAGAGUGGGACUGAGAUGCUGAGCACGUUUCAAAGCUCUCCAGUGAUACUCAUGUUGCUUGUCGAAGAACCACACUUUGAAUAGAAUGGAACUAGGGAACUGACUUCACACCCAGAUUUUUGGGCUCUGUACCUCACUUUGUAAAUCAG
ensembl:lncRNA